AAAACCUAGAAAACCAUUGAUGAAGUGUUAAGCUAUUCGGUCCUUGCGUGAAUUAAAAUUUUGUUUUUCGUAAAUUUUAUAUUUUUGAAAUAGUAGAAGCUCGAUUUAGCUAACUCGAGUAAUAUUUUUCAGAAUUGUUUAAGUUUUUUAAAGUUUUUUAAGGGUUUGGAAGAGAAAUUGGUAAAUGUUGAGGACAACAUCAUUAUACCAUUUCUCUAUAAGUUGCUGCAAGAAUCAGAGGUUUCAUGGUUUUUGUUUCAGGGUGUGGAGUUAUUGAAGGCAUCCAUGCCUACAGUCCGAGACUGUGCUUGCUGAUGUAUUGCUGAAGAGGUAGAGCUGGAAAAUAAGUUGCCGAUGUUUAAGAGCUUUAGAAAAGAGCAGAAUCACACAUUCCUUAGAGACAGACAAGGCCACUCUACGACUUUUUAUAAAUAAAAACGCAAAUGACUUGCUGAAAACCAUGAAGCCGGGCGGUGAGUACAAAGCGAACUAUUCUUCCGCCUUUUGUGCUGGCCGCUCAUUGCGGCAUGCGUCUAUUUUUUGAGGCCUAAUUCCUUCACUGGAAUGGCCCAACAAAUUUCAGUUUCGAGUAUUAUUUCGUUUGUCUUCAAUGGCUAAAUGUUAGGUCCAAGUUUGACUCAUUUUACAAACAAAAGUGUUAACUGGCUUUUAUGAGGUACCCUCACUGUUGAUUCUCUGAUACACAUUAUAUGUAUUUUGGUAACUCGUGCUGAAAAACCCACGAAGCUGUGUUGAUUUUGUCUGUUGGCACCGUUAUGAGGCUCCUUUCUUAUAAAGGAAUGUUGGAUGGCCUUGGGACCCUUUUAUGACAGCAUUGAAAGUUUGGGUGAUACAUGCAGUCAGCAGCAAACAAAGCCACCCUUGAAAAGCCUAUGGUUUCUAACUAGGCUGCUAAUAAUGUACCACUCUUGUUUCCAAUCCUCAGUAUCCACCACCAUUCUUUUUGUUUGUCCAUGGAGUUGUUAUAAUUAUAUGGUCAUGGAUGAUCUAAUGGCUAGGCAGACCUAUGUCCACAAUUUCUGGUAUCACUUUCCUCAACUAGUUCAAAAUCCAGAAUGUCAUUGGUAUGGGAGUGGAUGAGGUAAAAGAUUCCUUUUUAAGUGUAUAUUUAAGUACGCAUCCAUACAUGUAUGUAUAUUUAUUUCAUUUUCAAUAAGAUUGGCUUAGAGCUUAUUUGUGCAAA